CAAAUAAAUGGCAGUUGUUGACUUCCUAUUCAUUAUAAUCAGUUGAUAUCCAAAUGGGAAGUGGCACUCGAAGCACAAGGUCACUGCGGCCACCUGACUUUCGUUGAUUGCCCUCCAAUCACCAUAAACCAACAACCAGCAGGCGGUAUAAUAUCCAUCAUUAUGGCAGGGCCACCACCAUCCCUCAACAUUAUUAGCCCAAAAUGACCUCCUUCCCCUCUCCCGCCACCGAUGAGGGGGUGGGUGAGGGGCAGACGUCUCACCGGCACAAUGGAGCAGACAGGAAGCUAGCGACAGACAAGUGCUGGAAGGCACGGGAAAGGGGGUGGGACUUUCCCUUCGUUUUAGACCUUCCUGCACCUGGUCAACCCCACUACGCGGGGUCUUCAAAGCGCCAGUGAGGCAAAGAUAAACACACGUUAAACUCAAAGUGGAGAGCCACGACUCCGAGGUACCAUGGACUACAAAAUAAAAGAGUUAACAAAAACUCGGGUGGAAUAGAGUCCCCUUUACAUAAUUAGAAAUAAGUGACAUAAGUAUCUCGUAAAAUGUCAUUUAAUCAUAAGUGUAUGUGAAAAUCACACCAAAUGCAACAUACCCCUACAAAUUACAGGUACCCUCUAAAAUAAAACAAAGGAAUCAGGCGAAGAAUGGGAAAACGACACAAGAAGAGCGAUGAGGAAAUUGCGAGAGACGUGUAAGAAAUUAUAACAAGAAA
rnacentral:sRNA from 1 species